CCGCCCGGAGGUCAACAUCCGCCAGCGAGUCUCGCCCGCGGAUGACGCCUUG
rfam:Aurantimonas sp. Leaf443 contig_9, whole genome shotgun sequence.